rnacentral:rRNA from 1 species
AUGCCUCGUGGUUCAAGUUUUAAGGUGUAUGUGCUUCAUGGGUUAGCUGCCUCACCCUCUGGACUUUUUAGCUCGGGUGGCGGGGAAGACGCCCGCGCCAAUGGUCGUGCGAAACUCGCUGCCUGCGGCGGCGCAUUCGCUUGCAACCGGGGCGUGGGCGAGCGUGCUAUCACAGUCCUCAUAGAUCAAGACCGGCCAUACUACCAUGCCCAAAUUCAACUGGUCAACGCUCCCUUUAUCUUUGCAUGGCCGAGCCCACUGGACAUAAUGCAUGCAUGUUUCCUCAAGAUGCUGUCAAAACAAAAAAGCAUGUCUGGUACAAGUGAAAGGAAGCUCUGA